rnacentral:rRNA from 1 species
GAUGAACGCUGGCGGCGUGCCUAAUACAUGCAAGUCGAGCGAACAGACGAGGAGCUUGCUCCUCUGACGUUAGCGGCGGACGGGUGAGUAACACGUGGAUAACCUACCUAUAAGACUGGGAUAACUUCGGGAAACCGGAGCUAAUACCGGAUAAUAUAUUGAACCGCAUGGUUCAAUAGUGAAAGACGGUUUUGCUGUCACUUAUAGAUGGAUCCGCGCCGCAUUAGCUAGUUGGUAAGGUAACGGCUUACCAAGGCAACGAUGCGUAGCCGACCUGAGAGGGUGAACGGCCAAACUGGAACUGGAACACGGUCCAGACUCCUACGGGAGGCAGCAGUAGGGAAUCUUCCGCAAUGGGCGAAAGCCUGACGGAGCAACGCCGCGUGAGUGAUGAAGGUCUUCGGAUCGUAAAACUCUGUUAUUAGGGAAGAACAAAUGUGUAAGUAACUAUGCACGUCUUGACGGUACCUAAUCAGAAAGCCACGGCUAACUACGUG